UGUUCCCCCUUCCCAUCUCUUCCCCCCUUCGGUCUCUUCUUUCUCCUCUGAUCCUCUCCCAUCCUGGCACCGACGUUCACUUGCUGAAGGUGGCACACGACGGCAUAGGGCAGCGGCGCAUGAGAAAGGAGGAGGCAGCGACGCAUGGUGGUGGUUGUGUCGAUCUUCUCCAUUGUGCGAUGCAUGAGGAAGGAGGAGGCAGCGGUCCGUGCAACAUGCCAAGAAAUUGCCGUGAUGGACAUCGAUUUAAGAACCAGGCCCGUCGCUGACCCAAGCUCCUUCACUCCGAUGAAAAGGUUUCCCGAUCAGAGCACACACGUUUCCCAAGUUCUCACUGAGGUGAGUCAGAUCCAACAUCAACCUUCUCCACGGAGCCGUGUGGACUGUGGAGGACGAGGCAGUGCUGCCUGGCAGACGGAGCGGAGGGAGGAAAGCCAGCGCUCAGCUCCUUUCUCAGAACCAGUGUAGGCCAUCAAUCUUGCUGUGUGCUGAUCUAGCUGCAUAUUUCGUUGACGAUCGCAUGCACUCCCUGUUCUUAAUUUCUCUACGCUUGUUUACUCUGUUAGCCUUUCUUCACAAAUUCUAGUUUCUAGUUUUUCAUGCCUUUGACUGCAAUUACAGAAGAAUCUUUUUAGUUGAUACUGGCAUGUCCUACCGGAGCACUGGCAAUCGUAUAUAAAGGCUAUGGAUUAAGUGUU